GACUAAGCAUCUCUUGCUAAGCAACUGUUUACACCGACCUCCACUGUUACACCCAAAUGCCCAAAUCGGUGAUCCCAAUAGUACCGAUUCUUCCGAGAUUGAGAGUGUUAUCAAAAUGAAAAUUAACUAAGAAUCAGCGAGUGUGGAAGAGGAGGGAUUUACUUGAUGUCCUGCAAAUAUUUGUGUUACGCCAUUUGCAGAGAAGAGCGUGCAGGCUUGCCAUCGCUGUUGAGGUCCAAAGAACAAGUCUCCUAGGGCAAAACCAUUUGGGUUCUGCGGACGAAGAGAAAAAGAGAGGGGACGAAGGAAAAAAAAAAAAAAAAAAGGGGAGAAGAGAAUAGGGGCAGAAGGGAAAAAAGAAGAAAUUCAGAGGAAGAAAGAAAAGGGGAUAGAGGAAGAACAAAGGAAGGAAAAGAAGUGGCUCUCCCUCUCUGGCGAGCCAUAUCCUUAAUGCCCUUAAAUGAUCUGGCGAACUAUUUUUUCUUCACUGGUCAACACUCUGUAGUUGAGCAACUAACUGAGACAGCACUUGCUAUCACCAACCAUGGACCAACAAGGUCACAUUCCUACUACAGUUUAGCACGACCUUACCAUAGCAAGGGACUGGCUAUGAUAAUGCCACUUCUGAAGUUGCUGUUUUAGGGUUUUCGAUAGGAAUCAAGUCUGCCACAUUAUGGUUGAAGAUACCUAUCUAAAACAGGUUUUAGGUUCUUCGAUAGGAAUCAAGUCUGCCACUUUAUGGUUGAAGAUACCUAUCUAAAACAGGUUUUAGGUUCCUCGAUAGGAAUCAAGUCUGCCACAUUUUGGUUGAAGAUAUGAGAUUGAUAAUCCAUAACUUGGGAAAGUUCUUCUCACACAGGGAUGUCAACGUCAGAAUCUGUAAAUUUGCUGCUACUUUCAUUCAUUCUAUUCUUGGCAUUUUGUAAUACUUUGGUUUAUAUCCCAUCAUUUUAAUGUUGUAUAAGGAAACUAGACUCUGGAACAUGCAAAGCUCAGAGCUAGAGUGGAGAUUUUACAGAGAAAUCAAAGUCAUUUUAUGGGGGAAGACCUCCAAUCCUUGAGUAUGAAAGAGCUUCAGAAUUUGGAGCAGCUACUUGAUUCUGCUCUGAAGCACAUAAGGUCUAGAAGUUCUCCACCUCAAGUUCCCUCUAUUUUUGGUAAUAUAUGUAACGAAUUUUCCCAUGGUUUGCAAGGUUUGUUCAUGUAUUGUAAUCUGCAAAUCGUUUCAUGCAUUUGCCAGUAUAUAUCAUUUUUCCAUAGAAGAUGACAUUGUAAUUCAUAUGCAUCUCUGUUCUUAUCUCUGUGGUCAAUUCAUGACUUGAUGUUUUGAUGAGUACGUUUUUUUCUUUGUUUUUUUUUUCAUUAAAUGAGAGAGUGGGAAUGCUUUGAUGGUUUCUGUGCGUUAUGAGUUUGGCUUUUUGCCUUUGGCUAAUUCAGAACUUGAUUGUGAAAUUUAUUCAUUUUUAUUUUUUAGUUUAUAUUUGUGUUGAAUUUUGUCAGUUUUUAAAUGUAUUGGUGGCAUGGAUUUCUCAUUUGAUUUCUUGGCCAUUUGGGAU